ACGCUGGCGGCAGGCCUAACACAUGCAAGUCGAGCGGUAGAGAGAAGCUUGCUUCUCUCGAGAGCGGCGGACGGGUGAGUAAUGCCUAGGAAUCUGCCUGGUAGUGGGGGAUAACGUUCGGAAACGGACGCUAAUACCGCAUACGUCCUACGGGAGAAAGCAGGGGACCUUCGGGCCUUGCGCUAUCAGAUGAGCCUAGGUCGGAUUAGCUAGUUGGUGGGGUAAUGGCUCACCAAGGCGACGAUCCGUAACUGGUCUGAGAGGAUGAUCAGUCACACUGGAACUGAGACACGGUCCAGACUCCUACGGGAGGCAGCAGUGGGGAAUAUUGGACAAUGGGCGAAAGCCUGAUCCAGCCAUGCCGCGUGUGUGAAGAAGGUCUUCGGAUUGUAAAGCACUUUAAGUUGGGAGGAAGGGCAGUUGCUUAAUACGUAACUGUUUUGACGUUACCGACAGAAUAAGCACCGGCUAACUCUGUGCCAGCAGCCGCGGUAAUACAGAGGGUGCAAGCGUUAAUCGGAAUUACUGGGCGUAAAGCGCGCGUAGGUGGUUUGUUAAGUUGGAUGU
rnacentral:rRNA from 1 species